rnacentral:rRNA from 1 species
UACGUAGGGACCGAGCGUUGUCCGGAUUCAUUGGGCGUAAAGAGCUCGUAGGCGGCUGUUCAAGUCGAACGUGAAAACUCGGAGCUCAACUCCGAGCCUGCGUUCGAUACUGGACGGCUAGAGUACGGUAGAGGGGGAUGGAAUUCCGCGUGUAGCAGUGAAAUGCGUAGAUAUGCGGAGGAACACCGAUGGCGAAGGCAAUCCCCUGGACCUGUACUGACGCUCAUGCACGAAAGCGUGGGGAGCAAACAGG